rnacentral:rRNA from 1 species
UACGUAGGCAGCAAGCGUUGUUCGGAGUUACUGGGCGUAAAGGGUGCGUAGGCGGCUUUUUAAGUUUGGUGUGAAAUCUCCCGGCUCAACUGGGAGGGUGCGCCGAAUACUGAGAGGCUAGAGUGUGGGAGAGGAAAGUGGAAUUCCUGGUGUAGCGGUGAAAUGCGUAGAUAUCAGGAGGAACACCGGUGGUGUAAACGGCUUUCUGGACCAUAACUGACGCUGAGGCACGAAAAGCGUGGGGAGCAAACAGG